UGAGGAAUAUUGGUCAAUGGGGGCAACCCUGAACCAGCCAAGUCGCGUGAAGGAUGAAGGUCUUAUGGAUUGUAAACUUCUUUUAUACAGGAAUAAAUUGGGGGACGUGUCCCCUUUUGCAUGUACUGUAUGAAUAAGGAUCGGCUAACUCCGUGCCAGCAGCCGCGGUAAUACGGAGGAUCCGAGCGUUAUCCGGAUUUAUUGGGUUUAAAGGGUGCGCAGGCGGGAUGUUAAGUCGGCGGUGAAAUUUUGCAGCUCAACUGUAAAAGUGCCUUCGAUACUGGCUGCCUUGAGUGUGGUUGAAGUAGGCGGAAUUUGUGGUGUAGCGGUGAAAUGCUUAGAUAUCACGAGGAACUCCGAUUGCGCAGGCAGCUUACUAAGCCACAACUGACGCUCAUGCACGAAGGCGUGGGGAUCAAACA
rnacentral:rRNA from 1 species